rnacentral:lncRNA from 1 species
GCCACCCACAUCUUCGUUACCAUUAUACAAUUAUUUAUACCCCUUUUUCCCUGACGAGGACUCAAGGCAGAGUUUUAGUGGGGUGAUCGUUCUUAAAAAGGAGUCCAAAGAUGUAGUGGGCAUUACAGAAGCUUGUUGGAAUUGAUAGAACUAGUAGGAUAUGGUGAUGGAUACAAACGCUGGAUGAAGGUCUGGAUGUUGCUCUGUUCAUCAAAAGCAUUAAGAGUCAUACGAAGUAGAAAUCCCCAAAGUGGCAGAAUUACUGACUGGGAAUGCUGCUGUCACACCCUAAAAAUAAUUUAAGCUGGUAUUCAACUAAAUUUUCCUCAGAGAGACCUAUCGAAAUUAAUUGCCCUAACUUAAUCGUGUACAUUUAUUUCAACAGGUCUGCUUCAAAUAAAAUUUAGCAUCUGGUAUGCAUUUACACUACCACUACACUGACCAAAACACCUACGAUUAUCAAAGAGGCAUCCAAAGGAAGAUGCGUUCUUGUACUAGAUGACUUCAGUUAUGCUCAUACUGGGUAAAUGCAUGCUCUGGUCUUUACAAAGAAUUGAAAUUUCUACAACAGUUGAUCACAGAACUGACCGUCUGUAUGAAAGACAAAAUUUAGAGUCACCAUCCAAGUUGACAGCUAUUACAACAUUUUCCCACAGUUUAGUUAUGUGUUGUGUGAAGUACUACUUCCUUUUGUCUGCCUGAAUCUUCCAACAGUCAGGAAACUUUCUCCCUCCACUUUCUCCACAAUAUGCAUAGUCAAUGUUUCACAUACCCCCUUACACACCUUUUCCCCUAUCCAAACCAUUGGUCAUUUUCUUCAGCCCCUUGGUCAUUCUGGUUGCCCUUUUCUGAUCCUGCUCCAGCUCUACAAUAAUCUUUCUGAGUUGCAGUGACCAAAACUAUGCACAAAUGCAAUUGAACCACAGACUUGUAUAACAGCACUGAUACUGGCAGUUUUAUUUUCACCCCCAGUCCUUGUUAUUCCCAAUAUGAAAUUACCCAUUUUUACAGCUGCCACACACUGAGUUGACAUUUUCACUGAGCUAUCUACAAUGACUCCAAGACCUUUUAGAUGUUUAGUCACUACCAAUUCAGACUCUGUAACCACAUACAGUGUGUGGCUUUUUGCCCCAGUGUGCAUCACUAUACAAUGGCAUAUGCUAAAUCACUCUAUGAGAAUGACUUCUUGUUGUUAUCCAACUGUCUCGAAAGUCAAUGGACUGCACUCCCAGGGGUGAAGUCACACCACUGUGUUCGCAGCACUGAAGUUACCUCUCCGUGUUGUAUGGAGGUCCUGGGCUGCCCUGAUGAAAAGACACACACGCCCCUCGGAAAGCAAUACAUUUGGCACCAACUUGGUUGCAGGAGUUGCUGAAAGAAAACAUACAAGGCGCUAUCUAGCCACCUUAGUGACUCCACUCCUGAUUUGUGUAGGGUUUACUCCUUAGCCAUCUCUUCUCCCAAAUAGAUAUGGGAGGCCCAAGGCAGCAGAGGUUUAGGAUCAGUGUUUUCCUUCUUUUAGAUGGACUACCUUCCCAGGUUAACGAGCCCCAUCUGCCCCUCACUUCCCUCUACAGCACGUGCAGAAACUGCUUUCUUGGCCGUUGGACCCACUAUUGGUCUCAUCCGCUCAAUCCACCGGAGGUUGUUUUCACAUGCAGGGGAAGUCCUUAAGUCAUUGAAGGUUUGAGACCCAUCAGCUACCCUCACUUGGUUUAGCUGGCCAGUCCAAGUCAUUCCCUGGACAUGGCCGCUGUCACAUGCUGACAGCUUCUAGGAGCCACAGGAGAGAGCUGACUGCAGGUUGGGGACCAAAGGUGGACAAACUACCCCCAGAAGCAUGACGGCUCCCCCACCCAAAGUACUGCCUCUCUCCUAACACCCCAUGUUUCACCUUAGAUUUAAGGUGCUGCUUUUGACCUUUAAAGCCCUUCACGGCCUAGGACCCUCAUACCUACAAGACCGCCUCUCCCGGUAUGCCCCACGGAGAGCCUCAAGGUCCAUAAAGAGCAACACCCUAGUGGUCCCGGGCCCUAAGGAAGUUAGAUUGGCUUCACCCAGAGCCAGGGCCUUUUCAACACUGGCUCCGGCCUGGUGGAACGCUCUGCCUCACGAGACCAGGGCCCUGCAGGAUCUGAUUUCUUUCCGCAGGGCCUGUAAGACUUGGAGCCAAUUUGAUUCCCUCCCUCUUUCUUUUUUUCCUUUCCUUCUCCUCCUGCGAUGAGGCCACAUUUUAAUAUUUUAAUGUUUCAAUAUUUUAAUUGUUGUAUUUUAAUAUUGUUUUUAAGUUGUAAUCAUUCAACUUGUUUUUAUUAUUGCUUGUAAGCCGCUCUGAGCCCAGCCUUGGCUGGGGAGGGCAGGGUAUAAAUAAGAAUUAUUAGUAUUAGUAUUAGUAUUAGUAUUAGUAUUAGUAUGACUAAUAUUGGAUAUAGCCCUUACAUCUCAUACCUGGUUCUGGGCACUCCUCCAUAUUAAGUCCAGGGCACAGGAUAAAAACACUAUAAAAAAGUCAGAAAUUAAAUUGUUAC